rnacentral:rRNA from 1 species
UACGAAGGGGGCUAGCGUUGUUCGGAAUUACUGGGCGUAAAGCGCACGUAGGCGGAUUGUUAAGUUAGGGGUGAAAUCCCAGGGCUCAACCCUGGAACUGCCUUUAAUACUGGCAAUCUCGAGUCCGAGAGAGGUGAGUGGAAUUCCGAGUGUAGAGGUGAAAUUCGUAGAUAUUCGGAGGAACACCAGUGGCGAAGGCGGCUCACUGGCGCGGUACUGACGCUGAGGUGCGAAAGCGUGGGGAGCAAACAGG